rnacentral:piRNA from 1 species
ACUGCGGGCAGGUAAGAGUCCUUGGU